CCAAUAGCGUAUAUUAAAGUUGUUGCAGUUAAAAAGCUCGUAGUUGAAUUUCGGGAUCAGUACGCUGGUCGUGCCUCGGUAUGUACUGGUGUUACUGGUUCCUACCUUCUGACGAACCGUCAUGUCAUUAAUUUGGUGUGGCGGGAAAUCAGGACUGUUACUUUGAAGAAAUUAGAGUGUUUAAAGCAGGCUCGCGCUUGAAUACAUUAGCAUGGAAUAAUGAAAUAGGACGUUCGAUCCUAUUUUGUUGGUUUCUAGGAUUGACGUAAUGAUUAAUAGGGAUAGUUGGGGGCAUUAGUAUUCAAUUGUCAGAGGUGAAAUUCUUGGAUUUAUUGAAGACUAACUACUGCGAAAGCAUUUGCCAAGGAUGUUUUCAUUAAUCAAGAACGAAAGUUAGGGGAUCGAAGACGAUCAGAUACCGUCGUAGUCUUAACCAUAAACUAUGCCAACUAGGGAUCGGAUGAUGUUAUUUUUAAUGACUCAUUCGGCGCCUUACG
rnacentral:rRNA from 1 species